AACGUAGGACACAAGCGUUAUCCGGAUUUACUGGGCGUAGAGCGUGCGCAGGCGGCUUUGCAAGACAGAUGUGAAAUCCCCGGGCUUAACCUGGGAACUGCAUUUGUGACUGCAUGGCUGGAGUGCGGCAGAGGGGGAUGGAAUUCCGCGUGUAGCAGUGAAAUGCGUAGAUAUGCGGAGGAACACCGAUGGCGAAGGCAAUCCCCUGGGCCUGCACUGACGCUCAUGCACGAAAGCGUGGGGAGCAAACAGG
rnacentral:rRNA from 1 species